rnacentral:rRNA from 1 species
CGGGGGGAGCAAGCGUUGUUCGGAUUUACUGGGCGUAAAGGGCGCGUAGGCGGCCAGCACAAGUCAGUUGUGAAAUCUCCGAGCUUAACUCGGAAAGGUCAACUGAUACUGUGCGGCUAGAGUGCGGAAGGGGCAACUGGAAUUCUUGGUGUAGCGGUGAAAUGCGUAGAUAUCAAGAGGAACACCUGCGGCGAAGGCGGGUUGCUGGGCCGACACUGACGCUGAGGCGCGAAAGCCAGGGGAGCGAACGGGAUUAGACUACCCCGGUAGUCCUGGCCUUAAACGAUGAAUGCUUGGUGUCGUGGGGUUAUAAACGUCCCCGGGUGCCGUCGCUAACGCUUUAAGCAUUCCGCCUGGGGAGUACGGUCGCAAGACUG